ACGCAUGUUUAUUGUUGUAUUAUUGUAUUGUUGUGCUGUUGUUUGUUGUUGGUCGAUUGUUACUAAUUUGACGGAUUUGUUUGCGGAUACGUUACAGUUUGUUUUGCAAGAACUUCAAGAUAGCCAUUGUUCCGCCCGUUCCUGUCCAGCUUCUCUACUUCCUACAGUUUUCUGCUACUGCUGCUGCUGCCUCUUCUGCCGGCGCUUUGUACUAAGAAAAAAUGCCUAUUGGCAAACAAUUGCUGAUGUCGAUGCGUCGAAACUCUCACUGGCAGUCGGUCGACAGCUGAUGCUCUCUUGCACUGAUUGCACUCGCACUCUGAUUGCACUGCUUUGCGAACAGCUGCGAUUGGAAAAUCAAUAUUAACUGCAAUUUAACUUUAAAAAUAAAUGAUAAUCAAACGCGGGCUCAUGUUGUUAUCUGCCAGUUGUAAUAAAUUUGGAAAAAUUUUGUUUAGAUAUGAUUUACCAGGCCUACUUAGUAUUAAAAUUUAAUCGGAAAAACACAUAUGCUUUAGUCUCUAAGCUCUUAAAUUCGAUCCUCAAAAGACCUGCUAUAAAUUAAACCGUUUACUACAUAAAAGCCAGCGAGAAAUGUAGAGAAUAUUAAGAUCGCGAAAUUAUAUCCUCAGAUAAGAUUUCUUUGCAGUAAAAGUCUGUUAAACUACCAACUUUCAAAAUAUACGUUUACUCCGCACUACGAACGGCAACUUUCUGCUUCAAUUAUUGCUAUGAAAAAAAGCUCUUUCACACAGAGCAGCUCUUUAUAACAAAAACUCUGGAUAUCAAAUAAGCCUGCAAGCGAAAUGAUUAAAAUAAAUGCAGCUGAAAGCUGUUGGCAAUACGCUUAUGUUUCGAAAGUUAUGCCAUUAUUUUGCACCAUAUGUAUAAUUUGUAUUAAUUGUAAAAGAACCUGCUGAAAAGGUUGUGCAACAGCCAAACUUAAUUUACUCUGCCCUUCUGCCCACAACGAUGAUUUAACAAAUUAAAAGAGGAACUCAAGAAGUCAUAAAAAUCGCAACUAUUCCAUGUGCAUAAUCUAAUUGAAAAUGUCCAAUAUCCAGAUAUUAUAUGAUUUAUACAAACAAAAUAUGAAUUGGUAUUGCCAUGUCUCACAAUCUCCAGACUGACUUUUUACUGUCUUCAGUAGAUUUUGUAAACAACAUUUUUAUUCCCAUUGAUUUCUGUAAAAUAUAAUACUCAU